rnacentral:lncRNA from 1 species
AAGCCAGUCCCUGUCCUGGUCAGGUUGGGAGGGGUGCCAGUCCCUGUCCUGGUCAGGUUGGAGGGGUGUCAGUCCCUGUCCUGGUCAGGUUGUAACUGUAGAAGCCAGUCCCUGUCCUGGUCGGGUUGGAACUGUAGAAGUCAGUCCCUGUCCUGGUCAGGUUGUAACUGUAGAAGCCAGUCCCUGUCCUGGUCAGGUUGGGAGGGGUGUCAGUCCCUGUCCUGGUCAGGUUGUAACUAUAGAAGCCAGUCCCUGUCCUGGUCAGGUUGGGAGGGGUGCCAGUCCCUGUCCUGGUCAGGUUGGGAGGGGUGCCAGUCCCUGUCCUGGUCAGGUUAUAACUAUAGAAGCCAGUCCCUGUCCUGGUCAGGUUGUAACUGUAGAAGCCAGUCCCUGUCCUGGUCAGGUUGGGAGGGGUGUCAGUCCCUGUCCUGGUCAGGUUAUAACUGUAGUAGCUGGUCCCUGUCCUGGUCGGGUUGUAACUGUAGAAGCCAGUCCCUGUCCUGGUCGGGUUGUAACUGUAGAAGCCAGUCCCUGUCCUGGUCAGGUUAUAACUGUAGAAGCCAGUCCCUUUCCUGGUCAGGUUGGGAGGGGCGUCAGUCCCUGUCCUGGUCAGGUUAUAACUGUAGUAGCCAGUCCCUGUCCUGGUCAGGUUAUAACUGUAGAAGCCAGUCCCUGUCCUGGUCAGGUUAUAACUGUAGAAGCCUGUCCUGGUCAGGUUGGGAGGGGUGUCAGUCCCUGUCCUGGUCAGGUUAUAACUGUAGUAGCCAGUCCCUGUCCUGGUCAGGUUGUAACUAUAGAAGCCAGUCCCUGUCCUGGUCAGGUUGUAACUGUAGAAGCCUGUCCUGGUCAGGUUGUAACUAUAGAAGCCAGUCCCUGUCCUGGUCAGGUUGUAACUGUAGAAGCCAGUCCCUGUCCUGGUCAGGUUGGGAGGGGUGUCAGUGCUGUUACUCUGAAGGUAUUGCACUUGUCCCGGCCUGUUCAGGAUUGAGGAGAUGGUGCUCCUGCCCUUUAAACCUGCUGUUCAGGAUUGAGGAGAUGGUGCUCCUGCCCUUUAAACCUGCUGAACAGGAUUGGAGGAGAUGGUGCUCCUGCCCUUUAAACCUGCUGUUCAGGAUUGAGGAGAUGGUGCUCCUGCCCUUUAAACCUGCUGUUCAGGAUAGAGGAGAUGGUGCUCCUGCCCUUUAAACCUGCUGUUCAGGAUUGAGGAGAUGGUGCUCCUGCCCUUUAAACCUGCUGUUCAGGAAUGAGGAGAUGGUGCUCCUACCCUUUAAACCUGCUGUUCAGGAUUGAGGAGGUGGUGCUCCUGCCCUUUAAACCUGCUGUUCAGGAUAGAGGAGGUGGUGCUCCUACCCUUUAAACCUGCUGUUCAGGAUUGAGGAGGUGGUGCUCCUGCCCUUUAAACCUGCUGUUCAGGAUAGAGGAGGUGGUGCUCCUACCCUUUAAACCUGCUGUUCAGGAUUGAGGAGAUGGUGCUCCUGCCCUUUAAACCUGCUGUUCAGGAAUGAGGAGAUGGUGCUCCUACCCUUUAAACCUGCUGUUCAGGAUUGAGGAGGUGGUGCUCCUGCCCUUUAAACCUGCUGUUCAGGAUAGAGGAGGUGGUGCUCCUACCCUUUAAACCUGCUGUUCAGGAUUGAGGAGGUGGUGCUCCUGCCCUUUAAACCUGCUGUUCAGGAUAGAGGAGGUGGUGCUCCUACCCUUUAAACCUGCUGAACAGGAUUGAGGAGGUGGUGCUCCUGCCCUUUAAACCUGCUGAACAGUAAUUGUUUGAUGCAUGUUGGAAACGAAUGCAUGCGAAAUUUAUUUACCAAAAAAUGGCACUUGUAUAUUUCUGUCUCAUGAUAUUUUUUUAAUUUUUUUUAAUGAAUGAAAGGUAGUUUUCUAAAUUGUAGAUUUAAUUUACGAAGCUUAAAUGUGUCCAUCCAUAUGUUUUGAUUCAUUGUUUCAUGCUGUGGUUUUGUCUCAAAUAAAGUUGCCAUAU